rnacentral:rRNA from 1 species
UGGGGAAUAUUGGACAAUGGGCGAAAGCCUGAUCCAGCCAUGCCGCGUGUGUGAAGAAGGUCUUCGGAUUGUAAAGCACUUUAAGUUGGGAGGAAGGGCAGUAAGCGAAUACCUUGCUGUUUUGACGUUACCGACAGAAUAAGCACCGGCUAACUCUGUGCCAGCAGCCGCGGUAAUACAGAGGGUGCAAGCGUUAAUCGGAAUUACUGGGCGUAAAGCGCGCGUAGGUGGUUCGUUAAGUUGAAUGUGAAAGCCCCGGGCUCAACCUGGGAACUGCAGCCAAAACUGGCGAGCUAGAGUAGGGCAGAGGGUGGUGGAAUUUCCUGUGUAGCGGUGAAAUGCGUAGAUAUAGGGAGGAACACCAGUGGCGAAGGCGACCACCUGGGCUCAUACUGACACUGAGGUGCGAAAGCGUGGGGAGCAAACAGG